rnacentral:rRNA from 1 species
UGGGGAAUAUUGGACAAUGGGGGGAACCCUGAUCCAGCCAUGCCGCGUGUGUGAAGAAGGCCUUAUGGUUGUAAAGCACUUUAAGCGAGGAGGAGGGUACUGGUAUUAAUACUACCAGGUACUGGACGUUUCUCGCAGAAUAAGCACCGGCUAACUCUGUGCCAGCAGCCGCGGUAAUACAGAGGGUGCGAGCGUUAAUCGGAUUUACUGGGCGUAAAGCGUGCGUAGGCGGCUAAUUGAGUCGGAUGUGAAAUCCCCGAGCUUAACUUGGGAAUUGCAUUCGAUACUGGUUAGCUAGAGUGUGGGAGAGGAUGGUAGAAUUCCAGGUGUAGCGGUGAAAUGCGUAGAGAUCUGGAGGAAUACCGAUGGCGAAGGCAGCCAUCUGGCCUAACACUGACGCUGAGGUACGAAAGCAUGGGGAGCAAACAGG